rnacentral:lncRNA from 1 species
GAUAAAAUCAUAUAAUUUUUCUUUGAACCCUUAAUUUGAAUUUGGUAUUGGAAUUUGAAUGAAGAAAAAUCAGUAAUGAUAAAAGUUCUUAUGAUGAGAAGGAAACAAAGAGAAGAAAAUCCAAGCCAUCAGAAUCACCAAUAUCAUUGGAUUCCCACUAUGCAAAAGCCUAAUAUGAGGUAUGCUUAAUUUUCCCUGGAAUUACAAAAAUCUGCAUUACCCUCUCGCUAAAAAUAGAUUGAAUUAUUAGGCUUCCAGUGAUGUCGUUGCAAUUUGUAACCUAUCUAAUCACUCCACAGCCAGAGAGAGAGCUCAAUUCUAGGAAUUUUAUUCGAAAUUUGCCAUUUCAUUGCCAAUUUCAAAAGUUUCUGGUUACUGAUCAUCUUGUUAAUCUAUAAGAACUGAAAGUUGGGAGGGAAAUAGAGAAAGAAACCUCUAGAUUCUAAAAUGCUGAAUGCAAGUUGUUUGAUGGGCAUAAGGGAAAGUAUGUGACUUGGUUAUAUAUUUGCAAGGAUAGACAAUCCAUUUCAUGGAGCUCCCACAAGGCAGGGGUGCAUGAAAGCAAAACCAUGUGAUAGGUGGUUGUGAAAGCUCGUUUACAAGGUUGGCAUGUUUAACAAUUAACCCCUCAAGUUUGAGACUAAGCAUGUAAUAUAUACAUGCUUCUGUCUAGUGGUUUACCAGCAAAUAAGAAUGGAGCUUGGAAAGCUAAGCCUCUGACGAAUGGAGCAGUUCUUGUACUUGCCUGCUUCUGUUGCUGCAAAGAGUCAAAGAAGGAACUGUGUUUUUGACUUUGAUGGGAUUGGAAUAUUCUAAUUAUGGGUAUAUGGGUACAUGAACUUGAUCAGACAGUUAAAAGAAAAAAAGAAGACAAGAUUUCUGAUAAAAAAUCUGAUUUGUACAUGAACUCUUCAGAAGCUACAAAUGGGUAUUUGAUGGUUUGUUCUUUGAUGUUGAAGAUUGGAAGACAAAGAACAGAAACUACUAGCUAUGGAAGUCAGUAAUGCUUUUUCUAUGUCUCUGGUGACCUGCUGUUUGAUCAGAGUGAUUGCAUAUUCUAUGAGCUCAGCCUCGCAUGGUAAUGUGAGAGGUCCCGUGCUUUGUGAUCCGAACUCUUCUUAUGCCAUUUCGAAUAGUUCUAGGAUGAUUUGGUUGUUGAGGCAUUGAAGAGGAAGCAAAAGGCGCUUUUGAUCUGAAGAGUGCACAACAAAACAACCCUUUUCAGCUUUUGCUGCUGAUGUGCAGCAGGAGUUUCUUGUAUCUGUGUUUCCAACGGUUUGUGGGAGUGUGAUUCUUUUUCGCCUCAUUUCUUGCCAUUUUGGGGAGCUUCUUGGGACUGAUCGUCCUGUUAUUACUCUAUAAAGGCAAAGACCUAUGGAGAAACUGUGCUUCUAAAAGUACUAGAGGAGUGAAAUCUGAAUGCUGAUCUUGUGAUGGGUAGAAGGCAAAGUAGUGGCUCGGUUUUAUAAUCACAAAGGCUAGACAUGAGCCUGUUUCAUGCUGAUCUAUGUUUGAAAAUCAACAUGUCAAGGUGAAGCGUCGGUUUAACAUGUCUCUAUCCUUUGACAAGUGGUUAACCAGCAAAAUAGAUAUCUAAGGUGUGGUGGGCUCAUGAGUCUAUAGCCUAUGUGAAUCAUAAAAACAAAAGAAGAUCAAAGUGGUUGGAACGAUGAGAAUCUAAUUAAAUGGCCGUGUUUUUUUACCCUAUUUCAGUUAUAAAAACUAGCAGAAAAGAAUUUAGAUUUCUAUUAACUUGUAUCAAUUCCAACAAGUUGUUAUCGAAUCUAAUUGCAACUCUUCAAACGCUGGUAGGUAGGGUGAGUAUUUGAUCGGUUCAGUUUGAUAAAAAAUCAAAAUUUUAGUAUAUUAAAAAUUGAAUUAAUUGAUUUUGAAUAAAAUUUGAUUUGAAUAGUGAUGACCGCUGGAUUUCUCCACCCCGGACUUGGGGCAGGCCCAUAUCGUGAGCCCAUCGUUUGGGGGGUUCAAGGCCUCCCCCGUGAGACUGGUCCAGCCCGUCCCCCUCCAGAUCAGACUCCAAUCAGUUUCCUCAAUCAGACCGGCCUAACCUCUUGGGCCCGUUGAACAGAUCCUUCCUGGGCUCAGCCCACGACUUAUCUUCCGGUCUAGUCUGGAAUCAGGAGGGAAACCCACCUGUCCGUCAUGUGAGUCCAUACGCAUGCGCGUCCGGGGAGAAUUAGGGGCCGUUAUGCAUGGGACAGAGAUCCGAUUCCCUCGUACGUCCAUAUCAACGUAGCCGGGACAGGUGGUCCAAUGAUACACGUUCUGCUACACGUCACUAGCUGCCAAAAGGAAACAUAUAAAAGGAGAAAUACUCUCCUCUAGGUCUAAGUUUUUUCCAGUCUUACAGAACCCAUUGUAAAACCCUAUUUUCUGGAUCUCAGAUCAUCAAUUGGUGCCGUCUGUGGGAACGAAGGAGAUCUUUUCAUCGCCAGAGUUCCACUCUCACGAAUACCCACUGAGAUCCACAAUGGCUAACCACAAUGAAAACAACGUCACUCCAAAUGACCUGAGCUCUGCCCAAGAGGGGCAACAAUUCUCCUUUUCUAGUCAUACGACACCAAAUAACCAAACACCAAUCCCUUUCAACCCCUCGCCAAGCCUGGCGGGGAAUGCUUCCGCCGCCACCUUGUCCAACCAAGACCUCCAAACCAUGGCCCUCCAACUACAGAGCACCGCCCACUGGUUGGGGCAGAUAAUGCAACAUCGGGGCCUUAGCACCCCCGCCAACGUGUCACCGGUGGUAGAAGAACCCCAGACCAACGAACCUCAGCCUACCUUCAACCACCCCAGAACUGUCAGCCAAGAAACCGGAGAUGGGAGGAGGAGAGUUGAAGAAGAGGAAGAGCCGGCAGCUCGAGUUCACAAGAGAAGGGCGAGGGAGAUGAUAGAAAAUGAUGAAGUCGAUAGCUACUCCGCCGAAACCACCGGAAGAAUGGGGAGUGAAACAUGGGAAGAGGAGGCUCACCAGGAGAGGAAGCCCAGGCGGGAAGGGGAGAGAGUAGACCAAAAGCUGCAGAAGUUGAGGGAGCAGCUCUUGGCCGAGCUGGGAGCGAAGGAUUAGAACCAAACUCUCCUACCCACUGCUUCACCCUUCUCAAAAUGGGUACAACAGGAGACUGUGCCUAAGAAGUUCAUGAUGCCACCAAUGGUAGCCUAUGACGGGGCUGGGAACCCUAGGGAGCGUGUCUUGAACUACAAGACUUUCAUGGAGCUGCAAACUCUGUCAGACGUCCUGAUGUGCAAGGUAUUUCCUACGACGCUCUCGGGGCCAGCACGGGCGUGGUUCAACAGCCUUGAGGCAGGAAGCAUUGGCAGUUUUGGAGAUCUAGCCACCCACUUCAUCAGCAGGUUUAUUGCCGGGGUGUCUGCGGAUAGGAAGACGAGCUACCUGGAGACAAUCAGGCAAAGGAAAGACGAAUCACUUAGGGAGUACGUCGCUCGUUUCAAUACAGAGGCCCUGCAGAUCUCCGAGCUCGAUGAAGGAAGAGCUGUAGAAGCCAUGCAGAAGGGGACGACCUCAGCAGAGUUCUUUGGCUCGUUGAGCAGGAAGCCUCCGACCUCGCUGGCCGAGCUGAUGAAACGAGCCGAAAAGUAUAUAAGGCAGGACGAUGCUUUGGAGACAAGCAGGUUUGCCAGGGGAGCGACAGAUAAGGGGAAAGAACCGGAGGAGGGAAGGCCGGAGAGGCGCGAGAAAAAGCAUGACAAGAGACCUGAAACGUAUAGACAACCCUGGGAGCGCAGGGACCAAAGACCUUCCCCUCGGGCCUCAGAACCAAGGUCGCUCCCCCCGUGGGUUCCAGAGAAACCGAUCCCUCUCAAUGCCUCUAAAGCCGAAGUGCUCAUGGCCAUCCAAAAUAAGGAGUUCCUCCAGUGGCCCAAGCCUAUGAAAACAGAAUCGAACCAGCGAAAUCCUGACAAAUAUUAUCAGUACCACCGCACGAACGGCCAUGACACCAAUAACUGCUUCCAGUUGAUUGCUGAGAUCGAAAGGCUAAUAAAGAGGGGACACCUCAAGAACUUCAUAAAGAAACCAGAAGAACAAAGGUCUCAGCCAGACCCAACAGGACAGACACUCAGAAGAGAGGGAGCAGGGCAGGAGAAUGACGGAUCCAAUGGGGCCAUCAAUAUGGUCGUUGGAGGAACAAAAGGUUGAAAAAGCUACAGAGGUAUUUUCCUUAGAAAAUUUGUGAAAAGAAAUUCUUGUACUAUAAAAGCACAAAAUAACGCCAUCUUAUAAAUGCAAUGAUUGAACUCUAUUAUUGUGAGCAUUAACUCUCUCAGGAAAAGAAAGAACAGAUAUCAAAAAGACCUCCCGGAGCAUAGAAGGCUGGCGGGAUCACAAAAAAAUCUCCCCGGAACAAAAACGGCCGGCGAGGAUCUCAAAAAGACCUCCCGGAGCAAAAACGGUCAGGAUCUCGUAAGAUCUCCUGGAGCAAAAACGGCCGGCGAGGAUCUCAAAAAGACCUCCCAGAGCAUAGAAGGCCGGCGAGAUCACAAAAAAAUCUCCCUGGAACAAAAACGGCCGGCGAGGAUCUCAAAAAGACCUCCUGGAGCAAAAAUGGCCAGGAUCUCGUAAGAUCUCCUGGAGCAAAAACGGCCGGUGAGGAUCUCAAAAAGACCUCCCGGAGCAAAAACAGCCAGGAUCUUGUAAGAUCUCCUAGAGCAAAAACGGCCGGCGAGGAUCUCAAAAAGACCUCCCGAAGAAAAAACGGCCGGUGAGGAUCUCAAAAAGACCUCCCGAAAUAAAAAGGGCUAGGAUCUCGUAAGAUCUCCUGGAGCAAAAAACGGCCGGCGAGGAUCUCAAAAAGACCUCCCGGAGCAACAAAAACUGGGAUCCCCAGAGAUAUCCCGGUAACACAUGCUCAUAGCAAACAGAGGUACACAACGACCACACGCAAAAACAAAAGUUCCGACCUCACAUAAAAGAUUGGGGCACAGGGCCAUAAAUAAAAAGCUAAAACUCCGACCUCCCGAAAGAGCUCGGAUCAACAGAGCCAAUAAGGCCCCAAUCUCGCAAAGUAACCAGCACAUAACAAGAUUAAACAAAGGCACCUCAACGCCUGUAUCAUAUAGCAGUGCGACCUACUAAAGCAGGGCUCGCAGGCGCCAAAACGCCAAAGCACCAUGCAGACCUCAAGAAGGAAAGCUCAACCCUGGUAAAACCCAGGGGCAGCAAAGAACAGACAACACAUAAAACACUUAGGGGCAGUAGGAAGCCCUGAAAAAAAAAACAGGCGAUUACAAAUGAAGUCUAGGGAUUUACCCCCUCACCACUCAUGUAAUAAAUGUUGAGGAGGAAAAAGGGCAAUCUGAGGAGAAACCCCAUGGCGUGAGCAAAUGAGACCCUAGCUUCAGCUCCUGUCAAAUCAGAACUAAAAGCAAAAAGGCCAGCCCGACUCAUCACCUCAAAAGAUCGCAAGUUUAACCCACUAUUAGAAACAGAGCUCGCAGGCACGGCCAGUUCAGCUCGGAAACGGGUACGGUUAGUCCAGCUCGGAAGGAGUAUACGGGUAAGUAUGCCUUAGUGAAAUAGAUAAAUUUAUAAGACAAAAGUCCUGUCAAUUGUUAAUAUCUCAGUAAUGACGAGCUUGAAGGAAAAAAGGAAAGACAGUAUAGUGGAUCCCUCAGAGAAAAUUAUGAAGCAUGCAGUUUAAGUAUUUCAUUUAUAAGCAGAGAUAAGUUCAAGAAUGAACGAAAAACAAGAAGUAGUUCAAGUGGAGGCAAUUAUAAUUUCAUUAAAGAAAAAACGUAUUACAAUCUACUUAUCUGCUAAGGUUGAAGGAAAAACAGUCCUUAAGGGACUUACAUUUCUAGGAACAUCGUCAUCUACACUAUCUUUAUUUACAUUUACAUUAACAUCUGAAGGAGGUCUGGCAUCCUCCAGCUCAGACCCCUCAGUGCCAACAAAAGGCACAGUCUCUAGCCCUGAAGGACUAGCACCUUCCUCUCCUAGCUCUACAUCCCUUUCUUGAGGCCCGGAGUCAUCCUCCUCAGGUUCGAGGACGUCCACACUUUCCCCAUCUAGCUCGGAUUCCUUUGAAGAAGAUUCAGUUGCAAUGCGAGAGGUUCCUCUGGGCAAGGGAAAGUCGUCCUCCCCGUAUAGCACAUUUUCGCCGUCAGAGUCCAUCUCAGCAGCUCGGAGCUUCGCUAGAGGGAUAUCAAGAGCAAGCCUGGCUUCUCUUAAACCCCGAUUGAAGCCAGUCGCGAACAUGCAGAAGCUUUUUUGCCAAACAGCAAUCUUCAUCUCAUCAGAGGCUUUAUACUCCGCAAGUUGUGACUCACAGGCCUUAGCUAUAAUUGCCUUCAGCUCAGGAGAAUCCUUAUAAUCUUGUAGGUGAGCUUCACAGGCCUGCUCAAUCUUCCUUUUUAGCUCAUCCGACUCCUGAUACUCCGUCAGACGCCUCUCACACUCCAGCUGGAUCUUGUCCUCAGCAUGUCUGGUCUCCUCGAGCAGAGCUGAACAUUUACGUUCUAAAGUCCUGACUUCAUGGCUGAGCUGUUGAUUACGAAGUUUGGACUCCUCCGCCGAUGAAGCCAGGUCUCUGAUAUGUUCAGAGCUCGUGCUCAGCUCCUACUUGAGGAUUUCCACUCGAGCCAGGGCCCCCUCUUUUUGAAUCUUCACCUUAUCAAGGUGAGCCUGAAUUUCUUCGAAAUCAGCCUUCAGGGCCUCAUACUGGCGCUGGACCUCAUCCUUUUGGCUUAUAGCCUCGUUCCUCUCACGAAGGGUCUCCACCAUGGAGGACAACUGCUUCAAAACUUCCUCACAGCGAACCUCAGCUGCAGCUACCCUCUCAUCAGAUUCCUUCAGGACCUCUUGAGUGUGAGACAACUCCGCCUCCAGGGAUUUAGCGUGUUCCUGCGCCUCAGAGGCCCUCACAUCAGCCCUCUUGAGAGCCUCCAAGGCUGUAUGUAGCUCAAGCCGGAGGGAUUCAGAGUGCUUUCGAGCAGCAGUGAGAUUGCCUUUGGCGUCGCUGGUGGCAGACAAGUUCUCCUCCAGACGCGCCUCCUCAAUCCGGCGAUUCACAGACUCCCGGAGAGAGUGGUCGCGAGCAUCCACCUCCAUGAAGAGGCCCGUCACCUAGUACAAAAAGACAACCAUCAGAAGAAAGAAAUAAAGAAAGCCAGAAAGGAAACGGAAAGACGACUUUACCAUCAGAAGCAUCUCCCUAAUCAUAUCCCCGAGCUCCUCCUGAGGUCGAGAUCGGAACGCUGCUUACUCCUUAGUAGAACUGGCUAGAAGACCAGUGAUGUAACGACCCGGAAAUCGGACCGCUACCGACGCUAGGAUCUAGAUCGGCUUAAGGCCACCGGGACCCGUAGCAAGCCAAACAUUCAUCCUGUGAACCUGAUUAAUCCCAUACAUGAUCAACAACAUACAUAAAAAUUUGAACUUUCCUUUCCAUUUAUUCAUUCUCCAAACUCAACCUGAGCAUGCACUAUACAUAAACAUAAUCAUAAACAUUAACCCCUCCUUGGAGUCUCAUCAAUGCUCCAAUGGGGUGACAUAACAUGAAUUAAGUUUGGUUUACAAAAGCAUCAAAAAGAUCAUGUACUCCAAGGGAUUAAUAACAUUACACUAUAGUCAAGCACAAUUCUAAACUUCCAUAAGCAUCAUUACAUUACCAUACUUUUACAUGAUUGUACUCAACAUAACAUAUCACCAUUUUUCAUGUCCACACUAGCUAUUACAUGACCAUGACUUCAUUACUCUUGCUGACCUCCUGGUCUACCCUGUACCUGCAAACCUGGGGGUUAAGGGAGAGGGGUGAGCUACUAGAGCCCAGUGAGCAGAAUAAUAAACUAUUGUAUUUAAAACAUAUGAUAUCAUGGAAUGCGUCACAACACAAACAAAUCACAUCAAGGAUGGACUUGUCGCCAAUGACCCUCAUCAUAAUCCAAUCAUGCCAGGGGCGUAGUGCAGGCCACACCUGGUCUUUCCCCUAAACAUAACAUGUCAUACAUAUCCAAUAAUGCCGGGGGCGUAGUGGAGGCCACACCCGGACUUUCCCUUACAUAGUGCCAGGGGCGUAGUGCAGGCCACACCUGGACUUCCAUAUCAUAUCAUAUCUCAUCAUACUGAGGACCAAUGGGUCAUCCAACAUCCAUCCACAUUAACAUUAAGAUAUGCAAUGCAACAUAUUCGUGGAUUCUAAUGCAAACAACCUAAAAUAUCACAUGGCAUUCGUGAUGCAUGAAUCAUGUUGAAACUUGUAUUAAUUUAAAACAUAAGGUUUAUUCCACUCACCUCUGGCUAGCUCUGACAAGACUCUGAAGUAGUUGACUCACUGCUGGGGUCCUCGGUUCCUCGGGUCCGAGCCUACACAGGUGGACUCAAAUGAGGGACCAAACAUCUAUGAUCAAGACUCUAAAAUACUCCCCAAAAACCCCCUAAAACACCUCAAAACAUCCAUAGAAAACAUGCAAAGGAAGGCUGAACAGGGCACUUUCGGUGGCCGAAAGUCUCUCCAGAGCCGAAAGUCAUGCAGGUUCGGCGGCACCUUCGGCGGCCGAAAGUGCCCUCCAGAGACGAAAGUCCAUUUUUUGGGGCAGGCUUCGGCAGCCGAAAGGCUUGCCUCACAGACAGGUUCGGCGGCCGAAAAUCCUUUCGGCUGCCGAACCUGGUUUCUCCCAAAGGGCAUAAACUCAGCUCUUCAAUGCACACUUUCCUCCCAAACCUUCCAAUCAAGCAUCCAACUCUCUCAAAGCAUGCAUACACACAUACAUCAACACCUAGGGGUCUCAAACUAUCUUAAACCCCAACUACAACACAUCAAACAUGCAUAUCCAACACACAUUGUCCAUAUAAUCACAUAAAACCUAACAAAGCUCAACUAACCUAAACAUGCAUUUCUACCCCAUAAAUCAACUUAAAACUUGUUUAAAACAUACAAUGAGCUCAAGAUCGGCUCUUACCUCAUGAAGAUCGAGAGAGAGACGACCUAAACUUGGAAACCAAAGGAAAGGAGCUCCUGAGUCUUCCAAGCCUCAAAACUUGCUUUAAUGCUCAAAAAUCUUCAAAACAAAGUGAAAACUCAUGAAAAUCAUGAAAGAUUUGUAGGAAGAGACUCAAAAUCGGCGAGGGACGGCGGAGAACUCACCUUGGCUGAAAAUGGGGAGAAAAGCUCGCCCGUUCGGACAAGGGGACCCUUUUAUAGGUGGCUGGCCAGGCCACUUUUGGGGGCCUAACGUGCCUCCGCAUGCAUGCCAUGUUCGGCGGCCGAACAUAAGGUUCGGCGGCCGAACCUGGACUUCCCUCACUUAUGCCUUCGGGGGCCUAAACCACUCCCAAAGUGCAUGCAUGUUCGGCGGCCGAAUCUGAGUCUUCCUCUCAAGACUAUUUUCAUUCAAAACUUAAUUUCUUUCUUGCUUAAAACCAUAAAAUACAUUAAAACAAUUUAUGAAAACAUGGUUUUACCCUUCUAGAGGUUUUCGACAUCCGAGAUUCCACCGGACAGUAGGAAUUUCGAUACUGGAGUCUAGCCGGGUAUUACAAGUGAGGGCAAGCAGGCAUGGAUCUGAAGCCUCCGUAAUGCCACCAAACAUUCGCUCUCUGAGAAUUUCGGCAACUACACUGGUUGGAGAUUGGUGGGUGAUGUCCUCCACGUUCAGAAUAUCAUUGUCAGGAGCAAACAACAGAGGUACUACGGGGACAUCUUUUUCCUUCCCAAUAGGAGGGAGGGCUGGAGCUGAUCCUUUGGAAGCCCUGGACUUCUUUCGAGCAGGAGCUGGGGGAGAUAUUUCAGGAGGGGCUGGACGCUUGUCCCCGGUCUUCACUGUGACGCCUCCGUCAACAGAUCCAGAUCCAGUCCCCACAGGGGCAGGAGCAUCCCCGAUAGGGGCCUCCAGGACAUUCUCUUCCACAAGUACAACCUCCAUUCCCUUCCCUGGGGCUUCCUCUUCAAUAAUGGGGGACCCAAACCUUCCCCCUAGCACCUCCUCGGAAGAAAGAGCAAGAUCCGACCUUGCCUGUUCAAUGUCUUCUGUCUGCUUCGCAAUGACCCGUGGAGCUUCCCUCACCUCCUCUAUGAAAGCUUGAUUGGAUCUAGACUCCUGGGCAGGUUUAGGAGCCGAGGUCGACCUGCCACGGCUAGAUGGCCGAGAGGAUCCGGCACCGCGGGAGCUCGGCUUAGGAGCUCGAGAGGAAGCUCUGGCAGGAGGUCGGCUAACCUUCCUAGAAGAAACAAUCUGAGCCACUUCUUCAGCGACCUUAGACACGUAGUGUCCAGCCCGAAGGGCAUCUAAGGCGGCGUUCAUGCUCUCCCGGGACAUAACUAAGUUCUUUGGGGGCUUGAUCUGGUCCAUCUCGAAGUCUGAAGCUGCCGAAAAACACAAAAUCAGAAAAAGUUAGUGUACUUUAUAAUACCAGUUACGAGGAAAAAAUAGGACUGCUGGACAAAACACUAUACCUGUAUCUUGAAUAUCCCUAAGAUUAGACACGAACAUACACUUCUCGACGUCAUACUUCUUGUCAACAGAAGUCAGUCGAAGAUACCCCACCUGCUCGGUAAGACUUAGUUGGGGCAGGUCGUUGCAGCCCAAGGGGACAUCCUCCCAAUCUAGCCCCACUCCCCACGACAAGUCGGUCUCUUUUCUCAGCUCUGCCACAAGGAAACUCUCUACCCAUCCCUUUAUUGAGUCCUUGUAGCCCGUGAAAAUGGACAACCCACCACGGGGGGCAAAAUAGUAAAAAUUCUGAAUCGCCCUAACGAGACAGAAGAAAGUGACGAAUAGACAUGCCGUGGGUGUAAAACCCCAACUCAAGCAGAUAGAUUCAAAACAACACAUGAACAAAAUAGAAUUUGGAGACAACAUCCGGGGGGUUAUCCCGAAGUAUUGGAAAACCUCGAUGAAGAAAGGGGUAAAAGGGAAAGUCAGACCAAAGUCCCUCUGCUUAAGGAAGAAGACUAAGCUACGACCCUUCUGGGGAUCUAUUAAAUCGGGAGGGGAAGGGUUUGGAAGAACUAUCCUCUCAUUUUGUAAAGGAGCACGAAUAUAGUAAAGCGGAGUAUCUAAAUAUCUCCGAGAAAUAUACUUAGUUAUGGUAGAGGGAGUGAUGUUUGACUCAAGAUUAGAAACAUCGGGAAGUUUAGGACCUUCCAUGGAGGAAUAAGAAAGCGUACCUGAAACACAAUAAGGAUGAAUAAGCAGAAGAGGUCGAAGGAGAACAGAGAGCAGAAGAGAGCAAGUUUUCUUGGGAGACUGAGAGAACUCAAAAUGGGGAACGGUAAUGAGACGAAGAGUUGUUCUGAACAGUUUUGUCCUGGAGCGGCGCGGUCAUUAUUACUCUCGAUAUUUACCCCCUCGUCAGUCAGACAAUAACUGACGAGAAGGUAAAGGGGCAAUUGAUGACCGCUGGAUUUUUCCACCCCGGACUGGGGGCAAGCCCAUAUCGUGAGCCCAUCGUUUGGGGCCUCCCCCGUGAGACUGGUCCAGCCCGUCCCCCUCCAGAUCAGACUCCAAUCAGUUUCCUCAAUCAGGCCGGCCUAACCUCUUGGGCCCGAUGAAUAGAUCCUUCCUGGGCUCAGCUCACGACUUAUCUUCCGGUCUAGUCCGGAAUCAGGAGGAAAACCCACCUGUCCGUCAUGUGGGUCCAUACGCAUGCGCGUAUGGGGAGAAUCAGGGGCUGUUAUGCAUGGGACAGAGAUCCGAUUCCCUCGUACGUCCAUAUCAACGUAGCCAGGACAGGUGGUCCAAUGAUACACGUUCUGCUACAUGUCACUAGCUGCCAAAAGGAAACAUAUAAAAGGAGAAAUACUCUCCUCUAGGUCUAAGUUUUUUCCAGUCUUACAGAACCCAUUGUAAAACCCUAUUUUCUGGAUCUUAGAUCAUCAAAUAUAAUUGAUUCGAUUUAUUUUGAUUUGACCGGUUUUAGUAUUCUAAACAAAUAUUUUAAUCUUGAUUACAAAUGAAGCUAUUUUGUAUCUAAUUUUACAGAUAUAGAAAUCCUUAAUAUUAAAUUUCAAUAGUAUUAAUGUUGAAAAGAUUAUGGUAUGAAUUUAAAAAAUUAUUAUUUUUUAUGAGAUUUUUUAACAAAUAUUUUUUAAUCUGUGAAUACAGAUAUUUUUAAUUGAUAUUAUUGUACAAAUUUUAAAAUUAUUAAUUUAUGAAUUGAUAUAUUAUUUUUAAAUAUCAAUUUGAAAAUUUCUGAUAAAUAUAAAAAGUAAUACUUUAUAAUAUAAAUAUAAAAAAUAAUACUUUAUAAUAUAAAUAUAAAAAAUAAUACUUUAUAAUAUAAAUAUAUUAAAUUCUAUUUCUAUUUAUAAUGAGAAUUUAUUAGUAAUUUUAAAAUAUUCCUUAUGAAUAAAUAUUAGUAACAAUAAUUUAAAUUUUUUAUUUUUUAUUCUUAAUUAAAUAAAAAUAAUUAAAAUUAUUUAAAAUUAAUAAAAUAAUCAUAAAAGUAAUAAUAAAUAUAAUUUGAUUUAAUUAAAAAUAUCUCCCCAUAUAACCUCUCAAUUUUUAAAAAAUACCAUAAAUAAAUAUCUUUAAAAAAUGUCUAUUAUUUUCUGUUCAAUAAUUAAUUUUAAAUUAAUAUUCAGUAUUUUAAUUUAGUUAAAACACUAUUAUUUAAUAAUUGAAAAAAUAAUUUAUAAAAAACUAUUUAUUAUGAUAUUUAAUUAACUAUUAACUGACCACAUAUUCACAACUCUACAUUAUUUCAAAAUCCUUUUCCUAAUCUAAUUACACUUCCUCAUGAAUAUUUCCAUUAAGAGAAGGAAACCUAAUUUUUCUGAGUAAUGGUCUGAAAAAAUUGACACAAACAACACCCACACAUAACACAUACGUUCAUCAAAAACCCUUCUCUGAUUUUCUGUUUGGUGUCAAUCUAAUGGAACAAAAUCAGAACAAGAACAAAGGAGUUGCUGCAGAUUGCAGUACUAGUAGCGAUGACGUUGAGAGAUAUUUCAACUCGUUGCCUGUUGGGUAUCGAUUCGCUCCUAGUGAUGAUGAGCUGAUUCGUUAUUAUUUACUGAGAAAGAUCAACAAUGAACACUUGCCUCCUAAUAGAAUUCAUGUGGUUGAUUUAUAUAACUAUAGCCCUCAACAGCUCGCAGGUACGUCGCAUUAAUUUUGCAUGCACGCACAUAUGCAUGUCCUUCUUCUUCUUCAAUAAUGUAAUUUUUUUUUUUGGGUUUUCUUUGUUUUGCUGCAGAAACCUAUAAACUGAAUAGAGAAAGAGAAAGCCAGUGGUAUUUUUUCACGAGUAGGGAGAAAAAGUACCCGAAUGGAUCUAGACCGAAACGAAACGCAGGGGAAUUAGGAUAUUGGAAGGCUACAGGAACUGAUAAAGCAAUCCUAGAUGGAAAAAAACCUCUGGGAUUCAGAAAGUCUUUGGACUAUUAUGAGGGGAGGCAGCGUGAUGGAACCAAAACCAACUGGAAGAUGCAUGAAUAUCUUCUUCAUCAAAGCCUUGUUCCUUCAGGCGCUACGGCCAGAGGCAAAAACCCACUGCAGCCUAACCAGGUAUUCAUCAUUUUUUUUUUCUAUAAAAAAUUUAUUAUUUAGUUUAUUUCAUUAGUUUGUCCAUCAUUUAACCUUUUCUUAUUUGUUAUCAGAAAACUCAUUAUUAGUAAAAAAAAGAAUUUAUUAUUUAGUAUCUUGAUAUUGAGAGAAUUUGAGACUUUUGCAUAUGGCUAAAAUUAAAUUAAUAGAGUGAUUAAUUAUUAAUUUUUUUUAAAAUUUUAAAAAUGUUUUAAUAUAUUUUUUAUUGAUUGAUUAAUUAAUGAGUUUAAAUAAUCAGUUAAUUUUUUAUAUUAUAUAAAUAUUUUAAUAGAUUUCUUAAAAAAUUCAAUAAUUAUUGAUAAAUUAUGUAACUAUUCUUUAUUAUAACCAUAAAAUUAUGUUAACUAGAAAAAAAAAUUAAUUUUUAUGUGUUUAUAUAUUUUUUGGGUCAGUUGAAUGAAUGGGUUCUCAGCAAGAUCUACAACAACAAAGCAGAAGACAAGAAAAAUAAGAAUGAUGAAGAUGGAGGAACUGUAAAUGCAGAAACAGAAAUUCCACAUGCUGAUGAUUCCACUGCACAGCCUCUACCGUGUGAUAAUUCUUUGAUGAUUUCUAAAGAAUACGAGAAUGGUUAUGGGUCUUAUUUGCUUCCUCCUCUUUCUUCUGAUCCUCCUCUUUCUUCUGAUCCUCCUCGGCCAAUCUUGAAUAACAUGGACUAUAAUCCUCCAUCAAUGGACAACACAUUCAAUAAUAUCUUUGCCUAUAAUGUGCAACCAAUCCAAAUCUAUUACCCUCAUUCUCAUUAUAGCAAUGGCUUUCAACCCAUGUAUGGAUGUGGGGAUCAAGUUUCUGAUAUUAACUGCAUGGAGAUGGCCACCAUGAAUGAUCAUCUUUUACCUCCAGCUGAGGAACCCGCCUAUGGACGUGGGGAUCAAGUUUGGGAUAUUAACUGCAUGCAGACGGCCGCCAUGAAUGGUCAUCUUUUAAUGCCAGAUGGGGAACACAUCUAUGGAUGCGGGGAUCAGCUUUGUGAUGUUAACUGGAUGGAGACGGCCGCUAUGAAUGGUGAUCUUUUAGUGAUAGCUGAGGAACCCAGUCCGUUGCUCGAACCUGCAUUUGCUGAGACGAGUACCAGGGAAUUUGAUGGUCAACCUAGCUCUUCAAAUCAGCCUAUGCCUGUUGAAGGAGCUUAUGAUCAUGCAUCUUCAUUUCACAGAGAGGAGGAGAGGCAGAACUCACUGUUUGAUAUGGUGCAUUAUUCUGGAUAAAUUUUGUAAAUCCCAUUAUGGAUCUUUUUUUUUUUCAUCUGACUAUUCUAAAAAAAUUUUUAAAAAAAUGAUAAUAAAAAGUACCAUGGUUUAAUGCAUAUUUUAUUUCAUAGUAUGAAGUAUACUUUAUGAUAAAAAAUCAUAAGGCAUGAUAUGAUAGGGAAUAAUUAAUAUUAAGUUUUAUAAUAAAUUUAAAUUAUAAUUUAACUUUUAGUACCACAUUCGUCGAAGGUCUAGGAUAACCUUUCAAAAAAAAAAAUUUCAACUUUCAAAAGUUUACGGUUCUAAUAUGAAGCGAUUAAUCUUAGAUUUUAUAAUAAAUUUGAAUCGGGUUUAAUUUCUACUGCUAACUUUUAUUGGAAGUUCAUAAUAAUUUUUUGAAAAAAUAUUUUAUGAUGUACGAUUUUUUAAAGUUAUAAAUUUAUCACAAAAUUUAAGAUCAAAAUUCUAUUAAGUCAGUUUUGUCACAAAAUUCAAAUAUAAAAUUUUAUUGUUAAAAGAGUUAAUAUAAUUUUAUUAUUCUUUUAGAUUUUUUCUUAAUUUUUUAUAUUAAGAUUUUUUCUAUUAUAAAUAAUUAUUUUUUACUUUUUAAUUUUCAAAAAUUUAAUAAAAAAUUUUGAUUUUUAACUUUUUAUUCUCUAAAUUUCAUUUUAAUUAAAUUUUAUUGAUUAAAAUUUUUUUAAAAGUCUAAAUAGUUUUAUUUCAAAUAAUAUUAUAAAUUAAUCAUGAACGUCUUUCGAAAUAUUAUUGUUUGUUGACAGUGUUUGUUAAUAGUAUAUUUGUAGUGUCUCAAAUUGAUUAUUUAUAAAAAAAUUGAUAGAUUUAUAAAUAGUUAAUAAAAAUAUUAAAUUGAAUUAAUCAUUUUGAACAAAUUGAAAAACGAAUGAACGAGAUUGGUAUUUCUCACAUCGGUUAUUUACAUGAUAAUUUUAUAAAUAGUUAAUAAAAAUUAUUAAAUAAUUAAAAUUAAUUAUUUUGAAUAAAAUAAAAAAUAAAUUAAAAAUUUAUUUAAAUCGAUUUAAACUGAGUAUUAAUAUAAUAUACUAUUUUAUUAUAAAAUUAAUUUUAGAUUUUGAAAUUAAAAAUAAGCUUUUUUUUAUAAUUUUUAAAAUAAUAAAGUCCGACUAUUUUAGCAAUUUAUAUAUGUGCAAAAAAGUUGGAAUGAGGUAUUUUUAAAGUAAAUUAUAUUUUAAUACUUAAUUUUUAAUGUAAUUAAAUUUCUGUUUUUUCUCUUUAGAAAUUUGAUUUUUUUUUUUUAUUCAUUGUCCUCUUUGAUUAUUUGUUGAUGCUGAGAUGUUUUGUGAAAUGUAUACAUGUUUGUUUGAGAAAUUGAUUGAUGAAAUUCAAUAAACGAAAAUUUUAGAACAGUUAUUUUCCAUUUUAUUAUUAAUUUAAUAAAUUUUAUAAAUAAAAAAAUUAUAAUUUAUGAGAAUAUAUUUAUUAAUUAUAUUAAAAUUAAAGACUAAAAAGUAAUUUAUUCUGAUUUAAUUAUUAAUUUUUUACAAGUUAAUUUUCUAAUACACAAGUUUCAUCAAUGUCAGACGUAAUGAGCCCCGUAGUUUUAUAUACAUUAAUUUAUUUAUUUGAGAUAAAAUAUGUAAUUUUACUCUUCAACUUUACUUAGAAGUCUGUUGAUACCAUAAUUUUAUUUUUUAUAAAAUUGUAAUUAUUUAAUCCGUACUAAUGUUUUAAAUUUUUAGAAAUUAAAUAAUUAUAUUUUAUAACAUUUAUAAAAUUUAAAUUACUAGUUAAUUCUCAUUACAACUAUAAAUAAAAAUUUAAUAUAUUUAUAUUAUAAAGUACUAUUUUUUAUAUUUAUAUUAUAAAGUAUUACUUUUUAUAUUUAUCAGAAAUUUUCAACAACGGUUUAAUUAUAAUUGAUAUUUAAAAAUAAUAUAUCAAUUCAUAAAUUAAUAAUUUUAAAAUUUGUACAAUAAUAUCAAUUAAAAAUAUCUAUAUUCACAGAUUAAAAAAUAUUUUUUAAAAAAUCUCAUAAAAAAUAAUAAUUUUUUAAAUUCAUACCAUAAUCUUUUCAACAUUAAUAUUAUUGAAAUCUAAUUUUAAGGAUUUCUAUAUCUGUAAAAUUAAAUACAAAUAGCUUCAUUUAUAAUCAAGAUUAAAAUAUUUAUUUAGAAUACUAAAACCGGUCAAAUCAAAAUAAAUCGAAUUAAUUCGAUUCAAAUUAAUUUUUAUUCAAAAUCGAUUCAAUUUAAUUUUUAAUAUACUAAAAUUUUGAUUUUUUAUCAAACCGAAACAAUCGAAUACUCACCCUACCUACUAGCUUUUGAAGAGUCAGCAAUUAGAUUCGAUAAUAACGUGUUGGAAUUGACACAAUUUAACAGAAAUCUAAAUUCUUUUCUGUUAGUUUUUAUAACUGAAAUAGAGUAAAAAAAAACACAGCCAUAUUAGAUUCUCAUCAUUCCAACCACUUUGAUCUUCUUUUGUUUUUAUGGUUCACAUAGGCUAUAGACUCAUGAGCCCACCACACCUUAUAUAUCUAUUUUGCUGGUUAACCACUUGUCAAAGGAUAGAGACAUGUUAAACCGACGCUUCACCUUGACAUGUUGAUUUUCAAACAUAGAUCAGCAUGAAACAGGCUCAUGUCUAGCCUUUGUGAUUAUAAAACCGAGCCACUACUUUGCCUUCUACCCAUCACAAGAUCAGCAUUCAGAUUUCACNNNNNNNNNNNNNNNNNNNNNNNNNNNNNNNNNNNNNNNNNNNNNNNNNNNNNNNNNNNNNNNNNNNNNNNNNNNNNNNNNNNNNNNNNNNNNNNNNNNNNNNNNNNNNNNNNNNNNNNNNNNNNNNNNNNNNNNNNNNNNNNNNNNNNNNNNNNNNNNNNNNNNNNNNNNNNNNNNNNNNNNNNNNNNNNNNNNNNNNNNNNNNNNNNNNNNNNNNNNNNNNNNNNNNNNNNNNNNNNNNNNNNNNNNNNNNNNNNNNNNNNNNNNNNNNNNNNNNNNNNNNNNNNNNNNNNNNNNNNNNNNNNNNNNNNNNNNNNNNNNNNNNNNNNNNNNNNNNNNNNNNNNNNNNNNNNNNNNNNNNNNNNNNNNNNNNNNNNNNNNNNNNNNNNNNNNNNNNNNNNNNNNNNNNNNNNNNNNNNNNNNNNNNNNNNNNNNNNNNNNNNNNNNNNNNNNNNNNNNNNNNNNNNNNNNNNNNNNNNNNNNNNNNNNNNNNNNNNNNNNNNNNNNNNNNNNNNNNNNNNNNNNNNNNNNNNNNNNNNNNNNNNNNNNNNNNNNNNNNNNNNNNNNNNNNNNNNNNNNNNNNNNNNNNNNNNNNNNNNNNNNNNNNNNNNNNNNNNNNNNNNNNNNNNNNNNNNNNNNNNNNCUUUUUUUUUUUUUUAACUGUCUGAUCAAGUUCAUGUACCCAUAUACCCAUAAUUAGAAUAUUCCAAUCCCAUCAAAGUCAAAAACACAGUUCCUUCUUUGAUUCUUGAACAAUAGGAAUUUAAUUUUAAAGGAUUUAUUACUUUGUUCAGUGUUGCAGUCAUGACGAGAGCUUUCCCUGACUAUUCAGCAAGCAAGAAGGACCUUAUCCUUUUGCAAAAUAUAGCAAGUUAUAUGCUUCUUGCAUGUGGUGUUGUCUAUCUUGUUUCGGUAAGAUAACAAAAAUAAGUAUUUACCCCCUACUUUUAACUUAACUGUUUUGGAGUUUGAAGAAACUUUUAUCUCAGGUUAUAUGAUGAUGAAUUUCCUUUCUGUUACCUGAGAACUUUUAUCAAGCAAUGGCCAACCACCACAACCAGUCUACGAGUCAUUUUGAUUUUUAUUUUGCUGUAAUUUUUCAUGUGUUCUAGUUCAGUUCUAAUACUCAAGACAUCUUAUCUUGACUUAUUUCACUAGAAAAGUAAAUCAUAAUUAAUACACUUUCAAUUUCCAGGGAAUUCUAUGCAUUGGUUUCCUUAAACGUGCUCGCCAGCAGAAGGAAAUUACAAGGGAGCAGGCAGUCAAGGAUCUGGAGGUAAGUUAAACAUUACAUUAAAAACAAAUGAUAGUCCUCACCUGGCAUGGUUUGGAAUUAGGGCUUUUGUUUGCGACUCACUUCCGAGUUUGCAUAUGUUUACUGUUACUCUGAAUUAUGCAAUUAUGCUUUAUUUGUGAAAUCAUAUUGUAGAUGUCAUGGCAUGGUUUGGAAUUUUUUUUAGAGACAAAAGGAAAUAGGUGUUCUUAGAGCUCAUAAGUGCCUCGUUCACUAUGCUCAUUGUCUGCAAGUACAUAUAUAGUCCUCACCUGCUAACCUAGGAUGUAGGAUGUUAAAUGUAGGUCAGCAUGAUGAUGAUGAUGAAUUACAUGAUUUUACUUGGUUUCUUCAAUAUUUUUCUUUUCGUUCACUAUGCUCGUGUAUUGCAGCUGGCUAUGGAUAUCAAUAAUGCUUUUUCCACAUCUCCGGUGUCACUGACUCUAAGAGCUCUUAAUCGCAAGGCAAAGUAAGAGGCCCUUUGCUUGGCAACCCAAACUCUUCUUCUGCCAUAUUGCUUGGCAACAAAUUUCCAAGACAAAAAAACUGAAAUAAUAUUCAUUAAUUAUAUUAAAAUUUAUGAACUAAAUAUAAUUUAUCCUAAAAAAUAUCAUUCUAACUUUUUGCACAUGUAUAAAUAGCUAAAAUACUCAAGAUUUUAUUACUUUCAAAAUUAUAAAAGAGUGCUCUAUAAUUUCAAGUAUUUUUAAUUUCAGGAUCUGAUAUUGACUUUGUUCUGUAUCACUCUGUCACAAAGUAAAUAUCAGAUCCUGAAAUAAAAAAAAUGUGAAAAGCUUGUAAUUCUUUGUAUUUAAAAAAAAAUAUUUUGACGUUAAAAAAAAAGCAAAAUCCAUAAUGGGGUUUACAAAAUUUAUCCAAAAUAUUGCAGCAUAUCAAACAGGGAGCUCUGCCUCUCCUCCUCCCUGUGCACUAGAUGCAUGAUCAUAAGCUCCUCCUUCAACAGACAUAGGCUGAUUUGAAGAGUUAGGUUGAGCAUCAAAUUCUCUAGUACUUUUCUCAGCAGCUGCAGGUUCGAGCAAAGGACUGGGUUCCUCAGCUAUCACUAAAAGAUAACCAUUCAUGUCGGCAGUCACCAUGUAGUUAAUAUCAGAAACUUGAUUCCCACAUCCAAAUACGGGUUCCUCAACUGGCACAUAAAGAUGAUCAUUCAUGGUGGUCGUCUGGAUGCUGUUAAUAUUCCAAACUUGAUCCCCAUUUCCAUAGAUGAGUUCCUGACCAGUUGGCAUUAAAAGAUGAUCAUUCAUGGAGGACGUCUCCACGCAGCUAACAUCAGAAAUUUGAUCCCCAAAUCCACAGAUGGGUUGAAAGCCACUGCUAUAAUGAGAAGAAGGUUGACAGAUUUGGAUUGGUUGCACAUUAUAAGCAAAGUUGUUGAAUGUGUUGUUCAUUGGUAGAGGAUCAUUGUCAACGUUAUCCAAGAUUGGCUGAGGAGGAUCAGACCAAAGAGGAGGAAGCAAAUAAGACCCAUAACCAUUCUCGUAUUCUUGGGAAAUCAUCAAAGAAUUAUCACACAGUAGAGGUUGUGCAGUAGAAACAUCAUCAGCUUUUGGAAUUUCUGUUUCAGCAAUAUUUACAGUUCCUCCAUCUUCAUCGUUCUUGUUUUUCUUGUCUUCUGCUCUGUUGUUGUUGUAGAUCUUGCAUAGAACCCAUUCAUCCAACUAACCCACAAAAAAUAUAAACACAUAAUUUAUCUAUUGAUUAGUUAACAUAAUUUAUCUAUAAUUACAAGAAUUUUUAAAUUGAAAAUCUCAUUAAUCAUUCAGCUAAAGAAAAAUAUAUUAUAAUAUUUCUAAAAUUUUAAAAAAUUUAAUAAUUAGUCACUCUAUUAAUUUAAUUUCAAUGGAACUAAAUGAUGGAUAUUUUUUCUUUAUAAUUAAUGAAUGAAUAAAAUGUUAAAACUAUGUAAAAAAUUAAUUAAUAAAAUUUUUAAAAUUUUGAAAGAUGUUUUAAUAUAUUUUAUAAAAUCUGUGAAGAAACUAAUGAAAUGACCUAAAUAAUAAAUUUUAAAAAAAAAAAAUGUUGAAUACCUGCUUAGGCUGCAGUGGGUUUUUGCCUCUGGCCGUAGCGCCUGAAGGAACAAGGCUUUGAUGAAGAAGAUAUUCAUGCAUCUUCCAGUUGGUUUUGGUUCCAUCACGCUGCCUCCCCUCAUAAUAGUCCAAAGACUUUCUGAAUCCCAGAGGUUUUUUUCCAUCUAGGAUUGCUUUAUCAGUUCCUGUAGCCUUCCAAUAUCCUAAUUCCCCUGCGUUUCGUUUCGGUCUAGAUCCAUUCGGGUACUUUUUCUCCCUACUCGUGAAAAAAUACCACUGGCUUUCUCUUUCUCUAUUCAGUUUAUAGGUUUCUGCAGCAAAACAAAGAACCCCCCCAAAAAAAAAAAAAUUACAUUAUUGAAGAAGAAGAAGAAGAACAUGCAUGUACAUGCAUGCAAAAUUAAUACGACGUACCUGUGAGCUGUUGAGGGCUAUAGUUAUAUAAAUCAACCACAUGAAUCCUAUUAGGAGGCAAGGGUUCAUUGCUGAUCUUUCUCAGUAAAUAAUAACGAAUCAGCUCAUCAUCACUAGGAGCGAAUCGAUACCCAACAGGCAACGAGUUGAAAUAUCUCUCAACGUCAUCGCUACUAGUACUGCAAUCUGCAGCAACUCCUUUGUUCUUGUUCUGAUUUUGUUCCAUUAGAUUGACACCAAACAGAAAAUCAGAGAAGGGUUUUGAAUGAACGUAUGUGUUAUGUGUGGGUGUUGAAAUAUUUAUAUGUUUGUGUCCAUUUAUUCAGACCAUUACUCAGAAAAAUUAGGUUUCCUUCUCUUAAUGGAAAUAUUCAUGAGGAAGUGUAAUUAGAUUAGGAAAAGGAUUUUGAAAUAAUGUAGAGUUGUGAAUAUGUGGUCAGUUAAUAGUUAAUUAAAUAUCAUAAUAAAUAGUUUUUUAUAAAUUAUUUUUUUAAUUAUUAAAUAAUAGUGUUUUAACUAAAUUAAAAUACUGAAUAUUAUUUUAAAAUUAAUUAUUGAACAGAAAAUAAUAGACAUUUUUUAAAGAUAUUUAUUUAUGGUAUUUUUUAAAAAUUGGUAAUUGAUGAACAGCGACUGCUGGCUAUGGACACCAACACUGCUCUCUCUACAUCUCUCGUAGCAUUCUGUCUGAUCAGAGCAAUUGCAUAUCUAUAAGGUCUGCAUCACAAGGUAGCGGGAUCAUUUCAUUUCAUUGUUAAGAUACUCCAGGGGAAGAAGGAAGCGUUUUUUAUCUGCAUAGUACACAACAAAAUGGCGUUUCUCAGCAACUGAUGAAGUAUCUAUACUUCCAACUUUUUGUGACGAGUGAUUCUUCUUCACCUGAUAGUAGCCAACUUUUGCCAUUUCCUUGCCAAUUUCAAAAGUUUCUGUUUACUGAUCAUCUUGUUAAUCUAUAAGAAUUGAAAGUUGGGGGGGAAAUAGAGAAAGAAACCUCUAGAUUCUAAAAUGCUGAAUGCAAGUUUUUUGAUGGGCAUAGGGAAAGUAUUUGACUUGGUUAUAUAUUUGCAAGGAUAGACAAUCCAUUUCAUGGAGCUCCCACAAGGCAGGGGUGCAUGAAGUCAAAACCAUGUGAAAGGUGGUUGUGAAAGCUCGUUUACAAGGUUGGCAUGUUUAACAAUUAACCCCUCAAGUUUGAGACUAAGCAUGUAAUAUAUACAUGCUUCUGUCUAGUGGUUUACCAGCAAAUAAGAAUGGAGCUUGGAAAGCUAAGCCUCUGACGAAUGGAGCAGUUCUUGUACUUGAGCUGGACAAUUAUUCAGCUUUCUAGACUUACUAAAAAGAGAUGUUCUUUGAGCUUGGGUUCUCCAUAGAGCUAGUAACACUCCCUUUGAUUUUCUGCUAAAUGAUCCAUAACCUUUUGCAGGCUAUUGCUUUCUCCUAUAAAUUAGCAGAAUGAUGUGUCAAGGUGAUGAUAAUAUUUUCAAUGUCAUUAAAGGCAUUAGUUUGAUGGAUAGCUUCUAAUGACAUAUUGAAGUAAUCUACUGAUGCCAUUUUCUUGCCAUUUUGGGGAGCUUCUUGGGACUGAUCGUCCUGUUAUUACUCUAUAAAGGCAAAGACCUAUGGAGAAACUGUGCUUCUAAAAGUACUAGAGGAGUGAAAUCUGAAUGCUGAUCUUGUGAUGGGUAGAAGGCAAAGUAGUGGCUCGGUUUUAUCACAAAGGCUAGACAUGAGCCUGUUUCAUGCUGAUCUAUGUUUGAAAAUCAACAUGUCAAGGUGAAGCGUCGGUUUAACAUGUCUCUAUCCUUUGACAAGUGGUUAACCAGCAAAAUAGAUAUAUAAGGUGUGGUGGGCUCAUGAGUCUGUAGCCUAUGUGAACCAUAAAAACAAAAGAAGAUCAAAGUGGUUGGAAUGAUGAGAAUCUAAUUAAUGGCUGUAUUUUUUUACUCUAUUUCAGUUAUAAAAACUAAUUUUCAUGGAGAUAAAACUAGUUAGAAAAGAAUUUAGAUUUCUGUUAAAUUGUGUCAAUUCCAAUACAUUGUUGUUGAAUCUAAAUGCAACUCUUCAAAGCUGUGUAUUCGAUCGGUUCGAUUUGAUAAAAAAUUAAAAUUUUAGAAUACGUAAAAAUUGAAUUGAAUCGAUUUUGGAUUAAAAUUAAUUUGAAUCGAAUUGAUCUGAUUCAGUUUAAUUUAAUCAGUUAAAUAGAAUUUUUACUUUUUACUUUAAUUUUAGUAUUCUAAACAAAUAUUUCAAUCUUGAUUACAAAUGAAGUUACUUUGUAUCUAAUUUUAGGCAUAUAGAAAUCCUUAAUGUUAGAAUUUAAAAAUUUUUAAAAAUUAUUACUUUUUAUAAGAUUUUUUUAAAAAUAUUUUUUAAUCUGUGAAUACAGAUAUUUUUAAUUGAUAUUAUUGUAUAAAUUUAAAAAUUAUUAAUUUAUGAAUUAAUAUAUUAUUUUUAAAUAUCAAUUAUAAUCAAACCGUUGUUGAAAAUUUCUGAUAAAUAUAAAAAGUAAUAUUUUAUAAUAUAAAUAUAAAAAAUAAUACUUUAUAAUAUAAAUAUAUUAAAUUUUAUAAUAAAAAUUUAUUAAUAAUUUUAAAAUAGUGUUCAGUGUUUUAAUUUAAUUAAAACAUAAUUAUUUAAUAAUUAAAAGAUUGAUUUAUAAAAAAUUAUUUAUUGUGAUAUUUAAUUAAUCACUAGCUGAACAGAUAUUCACUACUAACCGUUAUUAUAAUCACUAGACAGAUAUUUACAACUACAAUAAUUAACCGUUAUUAUAAUCACUAGACAGAUAUUAAUUACUGGUAUUAUUCAAUAAAAUUUAAAUAUAUAUAUAUAUAAAGUUAAAUAUAUAAUUUAAUUCAUAAUUUUCACACAAAAAAUCAGUUAGUAUUAUGAUUUUUUAUCAUUAAUUUUUAAAAUUUAAAUUUUAUAAAAGUGUAUUAUUUAACAUAUAAAUUUUAUAAAAUAUAAUUAUUUAAUUUCUAAAAUUUUAAAACUCUUGUACGGAUUAAACAAUUACAAUGUUAUAAAAAAUAAAAUUAUAGUAUCAACAGACUUUUAAGUAAAGUUGAAGAGUCAAAUUACAUAUUUUAUCUCAAAUAAAUUAGUGUAUAUAAUUAAUUAGAAAAUAUAAUGAUGAAACUUAUAAAUUAAAAAAUUAAUUUGUAAAAAAUUAGUAAUUAAAUUAAAAUAAAUUAUUUUUUAGUUCUUAAUUUUAAUAUAAUUAAUGAAUAUAUUUCUAUAAAUUAUAAAUUUUUUCAUUUAUAAAAUUUAUUAAAUUAAUAAUAAAAGAAUAUAUAGAAGAAUAUUUAAAAUAAAAUGGUUAGCUUAUAGAAGAGUGUGCAAAAGAAAAUAUAAAAUCCAUAUCAACGUGUUAAAGAUCGAGCACUAUUGAGUUUAAAUUGAAAAAAUCGAUUGAAUUGAAUUAAUUUAAAAUUUUAUUUCGAUUUAAAUUUUAUUUUUAAAAAUUUCAAUUAUUUUAAUUUGAUUCAAUUUUAAUUAAAAAAAAUAUAUUAUUUUUAAUAAUAUAGAAAUUAUACUAUAAUUAAAAUUAAAAUAUUUUAAUUAAAUUUUAGAAUAUAUAAUCCAUCAAAUUAAACCGAAUCAAUUAGUUCAAUUCAAAUUAAUUUUUAUAUAAAAUCAAUUUGAUUUUUUUAAAUAUAAAUUUUAAUUUUUAAUUUAAUCAAUUUAAUUCAAUUUUAAACUAAACGAAUAAAUUACAGUAUCUACACAAUUUCAUGAGAUUUGGACAUUGAUAUUAAAUUAAGAUAUUCAAAAACAAAAAUCAGCGGCACUUCUAUUUGAUACUAGAAUUUGUUUUUAUAACCCAAUAAAAUUAAAGGGAAAGUAACUGUUCUAAAAUUUUCAUUUAUUGAAUUUCAUCAAUCAAUUUCUCAAACAAAUAUGUAUACAUUUCACAAAACAUCUCAGCAUCAACAAAUAAUCAAAGAGGAGAAUGAAUAAAAAAAAAAAAGAAACAAAUUUCUGAAGAGAAAAAAACUGAAAUUUAAUUAUAUUAAAAAUUAAGUAUUAAAAUAUAAUUUAUUUUAAAAAUACAUCUUUCCAACUUUUUUGCACAUAUAUAAAUUGCUAAAAUAGUCCGACUUUAUUGUUUUAAAAAUUAUAAAAAAUUCUUAUUUUUAAUUUCAGGAUCUAAACUUUAUAAUAAAAUAUUAUAUUAUAUUAAUACUGUAACAUUUCUAUCCAAACUAAUUCAAAUAAAUUUUUAUCUAUUUUUCACCUAACUUAAAAUGAUUAAUCUUAAUUCUUUAGUAGUUUUUGCUAACUAUUUAUAAAUUUAUCGUCCUGUAAUGUGAGAUACAAUAAUCUCCUUUAUUUAUUUUUACUUGCUCUAAAAUAUUAACUUAAAUUAAUUAGUAAUUUUUACUAGUUAUUUAUAAAUUCAUCAAUUUUUAUGUAAAUAAUCGAUUUGGAACACUAUAAAUAUGUUAUUAAUAAACAAUGACAUUUUGAAAGAUGUCGACUAUUAAUUCAUGAUAUUAUUUGAAAUAGAACUGUUUAGACUAAGGAGUUUUAAUCAAUAAACUAAAAUUUUUUAUUAAAUUCUCAAAAAUUAAAAAAUAAUAAAAAAUAGCUAUUUAUAAUAAAAAAAAUUUUAAUAUAAAAAAUUAUGAAAAAAUUUAAAAAAAUAAUAAAAUUAUAAAAUUAACUCUGAUAGAAUUUUGGACUUAAACUUUGUAAUAGACCUGUGAGUUUUAAAAAUCGUGCGUCUUGAAAUUUCCAACGAAAGUCGGCAGUAGAAAUUAAAUUCAGUUCAAGUUUGUCAUAAAAUUUAAGAUUAAUUGCUUCGUAUCGGUAGUAAAAAUUAAAUCCAGUCCAAAAUUAUCAUAAAAUUUAAGACUAACUACUUCGUAUCAUAAGACUUAUAACUCUUGUCACACUUUUAAAAGUCUAAAUUACCUUUGUGAAAAAUUAUUCUAAGUUUUCGACGGACGACGGUAAUAGGAGUUAAAAGCACAAUUUAAAUCAAUUAUAAAAUCUAAUCUUUCCUUGUGAUCUUUUAUGAUAAAGUAUACAUCAGACUAUGAAAUAAAAUGUGCGUUAAACCAUGGUACUUUUUAUUGUCAUUUUUUUAAAAAUUUUUUUAGAACAGUAAGACGAAAAAGAAAAUAAGAAAAAUCCAUAACAGGUUUACAAAAUUUAUCCAGAACAAUGCAGCAUAUCAAACAGGGAGUUCUGCCUCUCCUCCUCCCUGUGAAAUGAAGAUGCAUGAUCAUAAGCUCCUUCAACAGGCAUAGGCUAAUUUGAAGAGCUAGGUUGAGCAUAAAAUUUCAUGGUACUUUUCUCAGCAACUGCAGGUUCGAGCUACGGACUGGAUUCCUCAGCUAUCACUAAAAGAUCACCAUUCAUGGCGGCCGUCUCCGUCCAGUUAACAUCACAAAGCUGAUCCCCACAUCCAUAGAUGGGUUCCCCAUCUGGCAUUAAAAUAUGACCAUUCAUGGCAGCCGUCUGCAUGGAGUUAUUAAUAUGACAAACUUGAUUCCCACGUCCACAGAUGGGUUUCUCAGCUGGCGCAAAAAGUUGAUCAUUCCUGAUGGCCAUUUGCAUGCUGAUAAUAUCCCAAACUUGAUCCCCACCUUCAUAGAUGGUUUCCUCAACUGGCAUUAAAAGAUUAUCAUUCAUGGCCGCCGUUUGCAUGCAGUUAGUACCCCAAACUUGAUCCCCACGUCCACAUAUGGUUUCCUCAAUUGGCAUUAAAAGAUGAUCAUUCAUGGCGGCCGUCUACAUGCAGUUAAUAUCCCAAACUUGAUUCCCACGUCCAUAGUUGGGUUCCUCAGCUGGAGGUAAAAGAUGAUCAUUCAUGGUGGCCGUCUCCAUGCAGUUAAUCCCCACAUCCAUACAUGGGUUGAAAGCCAUUGCUAUAAUGAGAAGGAGCGUAACAGGUUUGGAUUGGUUGCACAUUAUAGGCAAAGUUAUUAUUGAAUGUGUUGUCCAUUGGGGGAGGAUUUGGUGGAGGAUUAUAGUCAUGUCAUUCAAGAUUGGCUGAGAAGGAUUAGAAGAAAGAUGAGGAAGCAAAUAAGACCCAUAAUCAUUCUCGUAUUAUUCGGAAAUCAUCAAAGAAUUAUCACACAGUAGAUGCUAUGCAGUGGAAUCAGCAUGUGGAAUUUUUGUUUCUGCAUUUACAGUUCCUCCAUCUUCAUGUUCUUGUUUUUCUUGCCUUUUGCUUUGUUGUUGUAGAUCUUGCAGAGAACUCAUUCAUCCAACUGACCCAAAAAAUAUAUAAACGCAUAAAAAAUUAUUAUUUUUUCUAGUUAACAUAAUUUUAUAGUUAUAAUUAAGAAUAGUUACAUAAUUUAUCAAUAAUUAUUGAAUUUUUUAAGAAAUCUAUUAAAAUAUAAAAAAAAUUCACUAAUUUACUCAAACUCAUUAAUAAUUAAUCACUCUAUUAAUUUAAUUUUACCCAUUAACUGAUAUGCAAAAGUCUCAAAUUCUACCAAUACCAAGAUACUAAAUAAUAAAUUUUUUUUACUAAUAAUGAGUUUUCUGAUAACAAAUAAUAAAAGGUUAAAUGAUGGACAAACUAAUGAAAUUAACUAAAUAAUAAAUUUUUUAUAGGAAAAAAAAUGAUGAAUACCUGCUUAGGCUGCAGUGGGUUAUUGCAUGCCUCUGGCCGUAGCGCCUGAAGGAACAAGGCUUCGAUGAAGAAGAUAUUCAUGCAUCUUCCAGUUGGUUUUGGUUCCAUCACGCUGCCUCCCCUCAUAAUAGUCCAAAGACUUUCUAAAUCCCAGAGGUUUUUUUCCGUCUAGGAUUGCUUUAUCAGUUCCUGUAGCCUUCCAAUAUCCUAAUUCCCCUGCGUUUCGUUUCGGCCUAGAUCCAUUCGGGUACUUUUUCUCCCUACUCGUGAAAAAAUACCACUGGCUUUCUCUUUCUCUAUUCAGUUUAUAGGUUUCUGCAGCAAAACAAAGGAAAAAAAAAAACAUUAUUGAAGAAGUAGAAGAAGAACAUGCACGUAAGUGCAUGCAAAAUUAAUACGACGUACCUGCAAGCUGUUGAGGGCUAUAGUUAUAUAAAUCAACCACAUGAAUCCUAUUAGGAGGCAAGGGUUCAUUGCUGAUCUUUCUCAGUACAUAAUAACGAAUCAGCUCAUCAUCACUAGGAGCAAACCGAUACCCAAUAGGCAACGAGUUGAAAUAUCUCUCAACGUCAUCGCUACUAGUAUUGCAAUCUGCAGCAACUCCUUUGUUCUUGUUCUGAUUUUGUUCCAUUAGAUUGACACCAAACAGAAAAUCAGAAAAGGGUUUUUGAUGAAUGUAUGUGUUAUGUGUGGGUGUUGAAAUAUUUAUAUGUUUGUGUCCAUUUUUUCAGACCAUUACUCAGAAAAAUUAGGUUUCCUUCUAGUUAUUAUUUAACAAUAAUAUAUAAGGUGGCGUCAGUAAUUUUCUUGGGAAAAUUGUAUCAAUGGUAACUCAGCCUUCAAUUUUGGUUCAUAAUCUCUUGUUAUGCAUUUGAAACUGAUUCUCAUAUGUCAAAAAUGAUGCGUGUAGGUUGAUUAGUUGGACACAGCAUAUCAUCUUUUGUGAUUUGAAAAUUAUGGGUACUGACAAUAAUUGGGCAGGAACAAAAAUUUUGCAUUUUUUAUGAAAAAUAUGAAUUUACAAUUGUAUAUGCAUCUUUACAAAUCUAAUUGUGACCCUUUCGCAGCUGCAAAUUGGUAAUUGAUGUCUUGUUGCUUGAUGCUGGAAAGGGAAAGAUGAUGAACAACAAUUGCUAGCUAUGGACACCAGCAGUGCUCUCUCUACAUCUAUAGUGGCAUUCUGUCUGAUCAGAGCACUUGCAUAUUCUAUGAGGUCUGCAUCACAAGGUAGUGUGAGUGGCCCCUCACUUUGCAAUCCAAACUCUUCUUCUGCCAUGUUGAAUAGCUCUCUCAUGAUUUCAUUGUUAAGAUAUUCCAGGGGAAGAAGGAAACGUUUGUUUUUUAUCUGCAGAGUACACAACAAAAUAACCUUUCUCAGCUAUUGAUGAAGUAGUAUCUAUACUUCCAAUGUUUUGUGACGACGUGAUUCUUCUUCGCCUGAUAGCAGUCAUCUUUUGCCAUUUCCUUGCCAAUUUCAAAAGUCCCUUGGCACUGAUCAUCUUGUUAAUCUAUAAGAAUUGAAAUUCA